rnacentral:rRNA from 1 species
CCCGACUGCUAUCAGAGUGGGACUAAGCCAUGCGAGUCAACAUAGCAAUAUGUGGCAUACGGCUCAGUAACACGUAGUCAACAUGCCCAGGGGACGUGGAUAACCUCGGGAAACUGAGGAUAAACCGCGAUAGGUCAUCACUUCUGGAAUGGGUAAUGACUUAAAUCUACAUGGCCCCUGGAUUGGACUGCGGCCGAUCAGGCUGUUGGUGAGGUAAUGGCCCACCAAACCUGUAACCGGUACGGGCUCUGAGAGGAGGAGCCCGGAGAUGGGCACUGAGACAAGGGCCCAGGCCCUAUGGGGCGCAGCAGGCGCGAAACCUCUGCAAUAGGCGAAAGCUUGACAGGGUUACUCUGAGUGAUUUCCGUUAAGGAGAUCUUUUGGCACCUCUAAAAAUGGUGCAGAAUAAGGGGUGGGCAAGUCUGGUGUCAGCCGCCGCGGUAAUACCAGCACCCCGAGUGGUCGGGACGUUUAUUGGGCCUAAAGCAUCCGUAGCCGGUUCUACAAGUCUUCCGUUAAAUCCACCUGCUUAACAGAUGGGCUGCGGAAGAUACUAUAGAGCUAGGAGGCGGGAGAGGCAAGCGGUACUCGAUGGGUAGGGGUAAAAUCCGUUGAUCCAUUGAAGACCACCAGUGGCGAAGGCGGCUUGCCAGAACGCGCUCGACGGUGAGGGAUGAAAGCUGGGGGAGCAAACCGGAUUAGAUACCCGGGUAGUCCCAGCUGUAAACGAUGCAGACUCGGUGAUGAGUUGGCUUAUUGCUAACUCAGUGCCGCAGGGAAGCCGUUAAGUUUGCCGCCUGGGGAGUACGGUCGCAAGACU